rnacentral:rRNA from 1 species
UUGUUGGGGUGCUAGUCAUCUCAGUAAUGCAGCUAACGCAUUAAGUGUACCGCCUGGGGAGUACGGUCGCAAGAUUAAAACUCAAAGGAAUAGACGGGGACCCGCACAAGCGGUGGAGCAUGUGGUUUAAUUCGAAGAUACGCGAAGAACCUUACCUGGGCUUGAUAUCCUAAGAACCUUUUAGAGAUAAGAGGGUGCUAGCUUGCUAGAACUUAGAGACAGGUGCUGCACGGCUGUCGUCAGCUCGUGUCGUGAGAUGUUGGGUUAAGUCCCGCAACGAGCGCAACCCACGUAUUUAGUUGCUAACGGUUCGGCCGAGCACUCUAAAUAGACUGCCUUCGUAAGGAGGAGGAAGGUGUGGACGACGUCAAGUCAUCAUGGCCCUUAUGCCCAGGGCGACACACGUGCUACAAUGGCAUAUACAAUGAGACGCAAUACCGCGAGGUGGAGCAAAUCUAUAAAAUAUGUCCCAGUUCGGAUUGUUCUCUGCAACUCGAGAGCAUGAAGCCGGAAUCGCUAGUAAUCGUAGAUCAGCCAUGCUACGGUGAAUACGUUCCCGGGUCUUGUACUCACCGCCCGUCACACCAUGGGAGUUGAUUUCACUCGAAGCCGGAAUACUAAACUAGUUACCGUCCACAGUGGAAUCAGCGACUGGGGUGAAGUCGUAACAAGGUAACCGUAGGAGAACCUGCGGUUGGAUCACCUCCUUUCUA